rnacentral:rRNA from 1 species
CACGCAGGCGGUCUGUUAAGUCAGAUGUGAAAUCCCCGGGCUUAACCUGGGAACUGCGUUUGAAACUGCAAGACUAGAAUAUGUCAGAGGGGGGUAGAAUUCCACGUGUAGCAGUGAAAUGCGUAGAGAUGUGGAGGAAUACCAAUGGCGAAGGCAGCCCCCUGGGAUAAUAUUGACGCUCAUGCACGAAAGCGUGGGGAGCAAACAGGAUUAGAUACCCCAGUA